CAUUUUGUUAAUCCUACUAUAUUAUUUGGGAAGUACAUUUUAAAUGUAACCUUAAUUUUUGUAAGUAAUUACAUAGGUAUGCCAUUAGAAAUAAAAUUUUAAAGAGUAUCUCUUUAAGGAUUAAAAAGUCAAAUACUAG
rnacentral:sRNA from 1 species